rnacentral:rRNA from 1 species
GGUUAAGCGACUAAGCGUACACGGUGGAUGCCCUGGCAGUCAGAGGCGAUGAAGGACGUGCUAAUCUGCGAAAAGCGUCGGUAAGGUGAUAUGAACCGUUACAGCCGGCGAUGUCCGAAUGGGGAAACCCAGUGCAAUUCGUUGCACUAUCGUUAACUGAAUACAUAGGUUAACGAGGCGAACCGGGGGAACUGAAACAUCUAAGUACCCCGAGGAAAAGAAAUCAACCGAGAUUCCCCCAGUAGCGGCGAGCGAACGGGGAGCAGCCCAGAGUCUGAAUCAGCUUGUGUGUUAGUGGAACGGUCUGGAAAGUCCGACGGUACAGGGUGAUAGUCCCGUACACCAAAAUGCACAGGCUGUGAACUCGAAGAGUAGGGCGGGACACGUGGUAUCCUGUCUGAAUAUGGGGGGACCAUCCUCCAAGGCUAAAUACUCCUGACUGACCGAUAGUGAACCAGUACCGUGAGGGAAAGGCGAAAAGAACCCCGGCGAGGGGAGUGAAAAAGAACCUGAAACCGUGUACGUACAAGCAGUGGGAGCACCUUCGGGUGUGACUGCGUACCUUUUGUAUAAUGGGUCAGCGACUUAUAUUCUGUAGCAAGGUUAACCGUAUAGGGGAGCCGCAGGGAAACCGAGUCUUAACUGGGCGUUAAGUUGCAGGGUAUAGACCCGAAACCCGGUGAUCUAGCCAUGGGCAGGUUGAAGGUUGGGUAACACUAACUGGAGGACCGAACCGACUAAUGUUGAAAAAUUAGCGGAUGACUUGUGGCUGGGGGUGAAAGGCCAAUCAAACCGGGAGAUAGCUGGUUCUCCCCGAAAGCUAUUUAGGUAGCGCCUCGUGAACUCAUCUUCGGGGGUAGAGCACUGUUUCGGCUAGGGGGUCAUCCCGACUUACCAACCCGAUGCAAACUACGAAUACCGAAGAAUGUUAUCACGGGAGACACACGGCGGGUGCUAACGUCCGUCGUGAAGAGGGAAACAACCCAGACCGCCAGCUAAGGUCCCAAAGUCAUGGUUAAGUGGGAAACGAUGUGGGAAGGCACAGACAGCCAGGAUGUUGGCUUAGAAGCAGCCAUCAUUUAAAGAAAGCGUAAUAGCUCACUGGUCGAGUCGGCCUGCGCGGAAGAUGUAACGGGGCUAAACCAUGCACCGAAGCUGCGGCAGCGACACUAUGUGUUGUUGGGUAGGGGAGCGUUCUGUAAGCCUGCGAAGGUGUGCUGUGAGGCAUGCUGGAGGUAUCAGAAGUGCGAAUGCUGACAUAAGUAACGAUAAAGCGGGUGAAAAGCCCGCUCGCCGGAAGACCAAGGGUUCCUGUCCAACGUUAAUCGGGGCAGGGUGAGUCGACCCCUAAGGCGAGGCCGAAAGGCGUAGUCGAUGGGAAACAGGUUAAUAUUCCUGUACUUGGUGUUACUGCGAAGGGGGGACGGAGAAGGCUAUGUUAGCCGGGCGACGGUUGUCCCGGUUUAAGCAUGUAGGCUGAUUGUCCAGGCAAAUCCGGAUAAUCAAGGCUGAGGUGUGAUGACGAGGCACUACGGUGCUGAAGUAACAAAUGCCCUGCUUCCAGGAAAAGCCUCUAAGCAUCAGGUAACAUCAAAUCGUACCCCAAACCGACACAGGUGGUCAGGUAGAGAAUACCAAGGCGCUUGAGAGAACUCGGGUGAAGGAACUAGGCAAAAUGGUGCCGUAACUUCGGGAGAAGGCACGCUGGUGUGUAGGUGAAGUCCCUGCGGAUGGAGCUGAGACCAGUCGAAGAUACCAGCUGGCUGCAACUGUUUAUUAAAAACACAGCACUGUGCAAACACGAAAGUGGACGUAUACGGUGUGACGCCUGCCCGGUGCCGGAAGGUUAAUUGAUGGGGUUAUCCGUAAGGAGAAGCUCUUGAUCGAAGCCCCGGUAAACGGCGGCCGUAACUAUAACGGUCCUAAGGUAGCGAAAUUCCUUGUCGGGUAAGUUCCGACCUGCACGAAUGGCGUAAUGAUGGCCAGGCUGUCUCCACCCGAGACUCAGUGAAAUUGAACUCGCUGUGAAGAUGCAGUGUACCCGCGGCAAGACGGAAAGACCCCGUGAACCUUUACUAUAGCUUGACACUGAACAUUGAGCCUUGAUGUGUAGGAUAGGUGGGAGGCUUUGAAGCGUGGACGCCAGUCUGCGUGGAGCCAACCUUGAAAUACCACCCUUUAAUGUUUGAUGUUCUAACGUUGGCCCCUGACCGGGGUUGCGGACAGUGUCUGGUGGGUAGUUUGACUGGGGCGGUCUCCUCCCAAAGCGUAACGGAGGAGCACGAAGGUUAGCUAAUCCUGGUCGGACAUCAGGAGGUUAGUGCAAUGGCAUAAGCUAGCUUGACUGCGAGCGUGACGGCGCGAGCAGGUGCGAAAGCAGGUCAUAGUGAUCCGGUGGUUCUGAAUGGAAGGGCCAUCGCUCAACGGAUAAAAGGUACUCCGGGGAUAACAGGCUGAUACCGCCCAAGAGUUCAUAUCGACGGCGGUGUUUGGCACCUCGAUGUCGGCUCAUCACAUCCUGGGGCUGAAGUAGGUCCCAAGGGUAUGGCUGUUCGCCAUUUAAAGUGGUACGCGAGCUGGGUUUAGAACGUCGUGAGACAGUUCGGUCCCUAUCUACCGUGGGCGCUGGAGAAUUGAGGGGGGCUGCUCCUAGUACGAGAGGACCGGAGUGGACGCAUCACUGGUGUUCGGGUUGUCAUGCCAAUGGCACUGCCCGGUAGCUAAAUGCGGAAGAGAUAAGUGCUGAAAGCAUCUAAGCACGAAACUUGCCCCGAGAUGAGUUCUCCCUGAGACUUUAAGUCUCCUGAAGGAACGUUAAAGACGAUGACGUUGAUAGGCCGGGUGUGUAAGCGCAGCGAUGCGUUGAGCUAACCGGUACUAAUGAACCGUGAGGCUUAACCUU